rnacentral:ncRNA from 2 species
GAAAUGGGAUGAACCAUACGUCUGAAUAAGGUGCCGAAAUGUACUAUCACUGUUACCAUAAAGGGAGUCCAUGUAUUUAGACAGCAGGGUCGGUGCCCCUAAAAGCAGGUAUCCGCUAAAGAGUGUGUUAAAACUCACCUGCCGAAUACUAGGGCCCCGAAAAUGAAUGGCGCAUAUAGUACUACCGAUCUCAGACAUCAGUUCUAUUGAACUGAGAGUAGGGGGAUGUGGACAUUUUUGUGAAGGUGCAAUGUGAGUUGGACUGGAAGAAUGUCUAUUACAGAUCCUAAUUGAAGUAGCGAUUAUCCAGGCUUGUAUCCUGGGGGCUGAUGAGGAGUAGGGUUUCUGGACAACUUAAACAGAUCCAGAGUUAGUCGAUCCUAAUCUCAAUAAUGGGAGAAAGGGAGUACAGUUGAUAUUCUGUAACUGACAACAGUUCGCGGCAACGCAUACUAUUUUUCUCCGCCAAUCUUAUACCGUUGGUAGGGAUCUCUUUCCUACAUGACAGUACUAAUACCCAGGGAAACUGGUCAUCAGGCGAACUGCGGCGUUCUGCUGGCAAAACAUAGCUUCGGUUAUGUCAAUGGCUAUUGGAUUGGUCCAUGAAGCGAAAAAUAGUUUACUGUGUCACUCGUACCGAUAACCGCAUCAGGUCUUCUAGGUAAGUAGCCUAUGGCCAUUGAGGCAUGAUAGUUCAGGGAAUUCGGCCAAUUAGAGCUGUAACUUCGGGAUAAAGCUUGGCUCUGAUGAAAAUCAGAACCGAUUGUUACGCGGAGAGCCCAACUGUUUAAUAAAAACGUAGUGUCGCGCUGUGGUAGUAUAGCCAGUGAACGCGACAUGAAUCCUGCUCAGUGCUGUGUCUGUUAAUAUGGUUCAAGCCAACGAAGCACCGGUAAAUAGCUGGGGUAACUAUGACUCUUAUCAAAGUAGCGAAAUACCUCGUCACUUAAUUAGUGACCUGCAUGAACGGAGCUAUGAGGUUCUCACUGUCCAAACUGUCUCUCAGCGAACCAACUGUAGUGGGAACGGUCACUAGAUAUCCAGCGGGGGAAGAA